ensembl:misc_RNA 7SK 7SK RNA
GUAUAUGGAGGUGAUUUGGGAGCGACAUCUGUCACCCUAUUGAUUGCCAGAGUUGAUUUGGCUGAUCUACUUGGGGAGGCAGGUGUCUCCCUCCUCCCUCACUACUCCACAUGUUGUCCUUCCCCAAAUUGCAGGCUUGGCCCAAGAGGACCACUUCUCCCAUGGAAAAAGACCAUUCUUCUGUCAAGAUCAUAUGACUAUCUAUGCCUACUUACUAAAACCUCCAAAUAAGCUCUCAAGGUCCACUGGUAGGAGAACGUAGAGUAGUCAAGCUUCCAAUGAGGUACUGCGUGUGGUAUUCUGCCUCUCUUU